ACAGCAGUAGCCGCGGGAAUACGUAGGGACCAAGCGUUGUCCGGAAUCAUUGGGCGUAAAGCGCGCGUAGGUGGCCAUUUAAGUCCGCUGUGAAAGUCAAAGGCUCAACCUUUGAAAGCCGGUGGAUACUGGAUGGCUAGAGUACGGAAGAGGCGAGUGGAAUUCCUGGUGUAGCGGUGGAAUGCGCAGAUAUCAGGAGGAACACCAAUAGCGAAGGCAGCUCGCUGGGACGUUACUGACACUGAGGCGCGAAAGCGUGGGGAGCGAACAGGAUUAGAUACCCCCGUAGUCCCUGUCUCUUAUAC
rnacentral:rRNA from 1 species